rnacentral:rRNA from 1 species
GACGAACGCUGGCGGCGUGCUUAACACAUGCAAGUCGAACGGUGAAAGAAGAGCUUGCUCUUCUGGAUCAGUGGCGAACGGGUGAGUAACACGUGAGUAACCUGCCCCAGACUUUGGGAUAAGCGCUGGAAACGGCGGCUAAUACCGGAUACGAGACAGAGCUGCAUGGCUACUGUCUGGAAGUUUCGUCGGUCGGGGAUGGACUCGCGGCCUAUCAGCUUGUUGGUGGGGUAACGGCUAACCAAGGCAACGACGGGUAGCCGGCCUGAGAGGGCGACCGGCAACACGGGGAUGGAGAAACGCCCCGGAUUCUUACGGGGGGAAGCGGUGGGGAAUAUUGCACAAGGGGCGAAGGCCGGAUGCAGCGCGCCGGCGUGGGGGAGGACGGCCUUCGGGUGGUAAACCUCUUUCAGCAGGGAAGAAGCGAAAGGGCCGGUACCGGUAGAAGAAGCACCGCCUAAUUCCGU